CUCUGGACAGGUUUUGAUAAAUCUCCCCCAAUAUAUUCUGUUACUUUCCUCAUUUGUUAGUACAGUGACCCCCCCCGACCUACGAUGGCCCCGACAUAUGAUAAUUUCAACAUGCUUUUGUAUGUCGGGGCCAUCGCAUAAACGGCUAUCCGGCAGCGCAGACUGCUUCAGCUGCCACCGGAUAGCCGUUUACGGUGCCCCGUGUGGUCCGGUGAGGAUCACUUACCUGUCCUCGGGGCUCCGGCGCGUCCUCUUCGGGAUCCGCUGCAUCGCGGCGCUCUCCGUCGUCGUCAUCACGUCGCUGCGCACAUCGUCCCGUCAUCCAAUAGGAGCGGCGUGUGCGUAACGACGUGAUGACGGCGACGGAGAGCGAGGAUGCCAGGGAAGCAGAGGCCUUGCCGGAGCGUCGGGGACACCUCGGGAACGCGGCGACAGCGAUGGAAGGCGACAUCCAGGGCAGCGGUGACAAGCGGUGAUGGGUCCGGAGCGGCGGGGACACUGCCUGGCCCAGGAGAAGCUGUCUUCAACCUCGGACUGUGUAUAGGCUAACGGUGCCCUGGUGUCACAGUGAUCAGGUCUGGGCUGGUGGAAGUCGCACGUGAUAAAUUCAUGACCGACCAGACUAUGGCAUAGCUACACCAUUGGCUUCCAAAGCAAAAGUCACAAUGAAAAGUCUCUAAACAGCAACUGCAACAAAUCAUGCAGCAAAAUCAACAUCACGAAAACAUGAAUUUUUCAUUAAAGUUUGGAUUUUAUGCUGCACUGGGAGCCGGAUAUCUGCCCUUUUUCCUUGGACUGUCUAUCAGACUGCAGUAUGAAAACAAAAAGAAGGGGAAUACAGAGCAGCCUGCAGUGAUUGGAUGAAGAGACCCAGCACAGCAGAGUCAGGGAGGAAGUGAAUGUAUGGUUGUGAAAAAGGAAAAUGAUUGUCAGUACCAAUGUGUUCUUCUUAGGGUAGAAGCAUGCCAUAGGAACUUCAUGGCAUCACAUACACAUUCUAAAAAAGCAUGGAACUCCAACUCAAGGAUGUCAUUUUACGUAGACUGCUUCUCCAAGCAUCAUGCAGGCAAAUUAUUAACUCUCAACUUGUUUUUCUGAACAUCCUCAUUGUGUAUUUGUAUCUUACAAUCUACUAAAAUGUCCAUCAAUGCUCACAAAACUGCAUCUAAACAUGACAAACAGGAGUAAAUUGUUGUGAUUGUGUAAGAUGACACAUUGGCUGGUGCUUGCUUGACAACAAGGAACCUCAUUGGUCACAAAAACGUACUCGUUUUACCAGACACAACCUCACUUAUAUCAGUGGGCACACAUCAGUGGAUUCACAUCAGUGGAUUCACAUCAGUGGGUACACAUCAGUGGGUUCACAUCAGUGGGUUUACAUUAGUGGGUACACAUCAGUGGGUUCACAUCAGUGGGUUCACAUCAGUGGGUUUACAUCAGUGGGUACACAUUAGUGGGUUCACAUCUGUGGGUACACAUUAGUGGAUACACAUCAGUGGAUUCACAUCCGUGGGUACACAUUAGUGGGUACACAUCAGUGGGUACA